rnacentral:ncRNA from 1 species
CCAGCUGCCGCGGGAGAGAUCGUGCCGACAUCCCGGACACGACGCCGAAGGCGCAAUUCCGCCCGGAAUCGCUCAGGCAAAAGGACUGCGGGGCAUGU